rnacentral:rRNA from 1 species
GAUACCCGCUGAACUUAAGCAUAUCAAUAAGCGGAGGA